UUUCCGUAGGUGAACCUGCGGAAGGAUCAUUCAUAAUAAGUGUUUUACGGCACUUUUUUAAAUCCAUAUCCACCUUGUGUGCAAUGUCAGGGUUGAUUUUUCUCUCGAGAGGAUCAACCCCAAACAUCAACUAUAUCUCAACUCUUUGCCUGAAAAAUAUUAUGAAUAAAACAAUUCAAAAUACAACUUUCAACAACGGAUCUCUUGGCUCUC
rnacentral:misc_RNA from 1 species